GACGAACGCUGGCGGCGUGCUUAACACAUGCAAGUCGAACGGGCCUGUCUUCUUUUUUGGGGGUGGGUUGAGUGGCGAACGGGUGAGUAUCACGUGAGUAACCUGCCCUUCGGUCCUGGAUAACCGCUUGAAAGGGCGGCUAAUACGGGGUGGUCCGGUUGGUCCGCAUGGGCUGGUCGGGAUAGAUUCCCUGUUUUUGGUGUUUCGGCGGGGGAUGGGCUCGCGGCCUAUCAGCUGGUUGGUGGGGUGAUGGCCUACCAAGGCGGUGACGGGUAGCCGGGCGGAGAGGGUGGGAGGCCACACGGGGACCGAGAUACGGACCAGACUGCUGCGGGAGGGAGCAGUGGGGGGUAGUGCACAAGGGGCGGAAGCCUGAUGCAGCGACGUGGCGUGAGGGAGGGAGGCCUUCGGGUUGUGAACCUCUGUUUCCGGUGGUGAAGGCCCUGUCCGUGUGGUGGGGUUGACGGUAGCCGGGGAUGAAGCGCCGGCUAACUACGUG
rnacentral:rRNA from 1 species